rnacentral:rRNA from 1 species
GAUGAACGCUGGCGGCGUGCCUAAUACAUGCAAGUCGAGCGAACAGAUGAGGAGCUUGCUCCUCUGACGUUAGCGGCGGACGGGUGAGUAACACGUGGAUAACCUACCUAUUAGACUGGGAUAACUUCGGGAAACCGGAGCUAAUACCGGAUAAUAUAUUGAACCGCAUGGUUCAAUAGUGAAAGACGGUUUUGCUGUCACUUAUAGAUGGAUCCGCGCCGCAUUAGCUAGUUGGUAAGGUAACGGCUUACCAAGGCAACGAUGCGUAGCCGACCUGAGAGGGUGAUCGGCCACACUGGAACUGAGACACGGUCCAGACUCCUACGAGAGGCAGCAGUAGGCAAUCUUCCGCAAUGGGCGAAAGCUUGACGGAGCAACGCCACGUGAGUGAUGAAGGUCUUCGGAUCGUAAAACUCUGUUAUUAGGGAAGAACAAAUGUGUACGUAACUAUGCACGUCUUGACGGUACCUAAUCAGAAAGCCACGGCUAACUACGUG